rnacentral:rRNA from 1 species
UGGAGCAUGUGGUUUAAUUCGAUGCAACGCGAAGAACCUUACCUAGACUUGACAUCCCGGGAAUCCUUAGGAAACUAAGGAGUGCCUUUCGGGGAGCCCGGAGACAGGUGCUGCAUGGCUGUCGUCAGCUCGUGUCGUGAGAUGUUGAGUUAAGUCCCGCAACGAGCGCAACCCCUAUCUUUAAUUGCCAUCAUUCAGUUGGGCACUUUAGAGAGACUGCCGGUGUUAAGCCGGAGGAAGGUGGGAUGACGUCAAGUCCUCAUGGCCUUUAUGUCUAGGGCUACACACGUGCUACAAUGGGUGGUACAAAGAGCAGCUAACUCGCGAGAGUAUGCAAAUCUCAAAAAGCCAUCCUCAGUUCGGAUUGGAGUCUGCAACUCGACUCCAUGAAGUUGGAAUCGCUAGUAAUCGCGGAUCAGCAUGCCGCGUCGAUACGUUCCGGCCUU